rnacentral:rRNA from 1 species
AUACAGAGAUGGCAACCGUUGUUCGGAAUUACUGGGCUUAAAGCGCACGCAGGCGGAGAAAUAAGUUGGGUGUGAAAUAUCAUGGCUUACCCAUGGUGCUGCAUUCAAAACUGUUUUUCUUGAGUCUGGAAGGGGAGAGUGGAACUCCUAGUGGAGCGGUGAAAUGUGUUGAUAUUAGGAGGAACGCCGGUGGCGAAAGCGACUCUCUGGUCCAGUACUGACGCUGAGGUGCGAAAGCUAGGGGAGCAAACGGGAUUAGAAACCCCAGUAGUCC